rnacentral:tRNA from 1 species
UUAUAGGGAGACCUACCCAUCUAGCGCUUAAGCGAGGAAGCGAAAGCUUUUUAGCGAAACAAGACUAGAUAGGUCAACCCAAGGUCGUUGAGGAUAAGUGUUGACUUCCAGACUAUGAACUUGGUUGGGUAAAUGGGCUAUUAGCUCAGGUGGUUAGAGCGCACCCCUGAUAAGGGUGAGGUCCCUGGUUCGAGUCCAGGAUGGCCCACCAUACCAACUUAUUUGGGGGGUUUAGCUCAGUUGGUAGAGCGCCUGCUUUGCAAGCAGGAUGUCAACGGUUCGAGUCCGUUAACCUCCACUGCAAGACAACUCAGCAACUUAUUUAGGUAAAACUAGAGAGCCUGCUGGGUUCAAUCCAGCCAGAACCAUGAAAACUGCAUAGAAACUUGUCAGGUAGAAAGUAACUGACGCUUGUGAUUACGACCAGGUAAAACUGGAAGUAAGACAUUAAACGUCAGAGACAAAUAUCACAGACACCAAUGUUGAGAGUUGACGAAAGUUGACAAACAAGUGGUCAAGCUAAGAAGGGCUGAUGGUGGAU